rnacentral:rRNA from 1 species
UACGUAGGGAGCAAGCGUUGUUCGGAUUUACUGGGCGUAAAGGGCUCGUAGGCGGCUAAUUAAGUCAGCUGUGAAAUCUCCGAGCUUAACUCGGAACGGUCAGCUGAUACUGAUCUGCUAGAGUGCGGAAGGGGCAAUCGGAAUUCUUGGUGUAGCGGUGAAAUGCGUAGAUAUCAAGAGGAAACCCUGAGGUGAAGACGGGUUGCUGGGCCGACAAUGAAGCUGAGUGCGCGAAAGCCAGGGGAGCAAACGGG